CCUUUGACGUUAGCGGCGGACGGGUGAGUAACACGUGGGUAACCUACCUAUAAGACUGGGAUAACUUCGGGAAACCGGAGCUAAUACCGGAUAAUAUUUCGAACCGCAUGGUUCGAUAGUGAAAGGUGGUUUUGCUAUCACUUAUAGAUGGACCCGCGCCGUAUUAGCUAGUUGGUAAGGUAACGGCUUACCAAGGCGACGAUACGUAGCCGACCUGAGAGGGUGAUCGGCCACACUGGAACUGAGACACGGUCCAGACUCCUACGGGAGGCAGCAGCC
rnacentral:rRNA from 1 species